GGAAUAUUGGACAAUGGUCGCAAGACUGAUCCAGCCAUGCCGCGUGCAGGAAGACGGCCCUAUGGGUUGUAAACUGCUUUUGUACCAGAGAAAACCUAUCUACGUGUAGAUAGCUGAUAGUAUGGUAAGAAUAAGCAUCGGCUAACUUCGUGCCAGCAGCCGCGGUAAGACGAAGGAUGCAAGCGUUAUCCGGAUUCAUUGGGUUAAAGGGUGCGUAGGCGGGCUUGUAAGUCAGUGGUGAAAUCUCUCAGCUUAACUGAGAAACUGCCAUUGAUACUGCAGGCCUAGAGUAUAGAUGACGUUGGCGGAAUAUGACAUGUAGUGGUGAAAUACUUAGAUAUGUCAUAGAACACCGAUUGCGAAGGCAGCUAACGGAACUAUAACUGACGCUGAGGCACGAAAGUGCGGGGAUCAAAC
rnacentral:rRNA from 1 species